rnacentral:rRNA from 1 species
AACGAACGCUGGCGGCAUGCCUAACACAUGCAAGUCGAACGAUUGCCUUCGGGUGAUAGUGGCGCACGGGUGCGUAACGCGUGGGAAUCUGCCCUUAGGUUCGGAAUAACAGCUGGAAACGGCUGCUAAUACCGGAUGAUAUCGCGAGAUCAAAGAUUUAUCGCCUGAGGAUGAGCCCGCGUUGGAUUAGGUAGUUGGUGGGGUAAAGGCCUACCAAGCCGACGAUCCAUAGCUGGUCUGAGAGGAUGAUCAGCCACACUGGGACUGAGACACGGCCCAGACUCCUACGGGAGGCAGCGGUGGGGAAUAUUGGACAAUGGGCGCAAGCCUGAUCCAGCAAUGCCGCGUGAGUGAUGAAGGCCCUAGGGUUGUAAAGCUCUUUUACCCGGGAAGAUAAUGACUGUACCGGGAGAAUAAGCCCCGGCUAACUCCGUG